GAUGAAGAACGUAGCGAAAUGCGAUACUUGGUGUGAAUUGCAGAAUCCCGUGAACCAUCGAGUCUUUGAACGCAAGUUGCGCCCGAAGCCAUUAGACCGAGGGCACGCCUGCCUGGGCGUCACACGUCGUUGCCCCCCCAUCUACUCCUUCGGGAUUGCGGGGGGCGGAUGAUGGCCUCCCGUGCGCCUCGCCGCGCGGUUGGCAUAAAUGCCAAGUCCUCGGCGACGCACGCCACGACAAUCGGUGGUUGCGAAACCUCGGUUGCCCGUCGUGUGCGGUCGUCGCGCAUCGAGGGCUCGAAAAAAUUGCCGGGUUCCGGCUCGGCUUUCAACGCAACCCCAGGUCAGGCGGGGUUACCCGCUGAAUUUAAGCAUAUCAAUAAGCGGAGGA
rnacentral:misc_RNA from 1 species